AUGAACGCUAGCUACAGGCUUAACACAUGCAAGUCGAGGGGCAGCAUGGUCUUAGCUUGCUAAGGCCGAUGGCGACCGGCGCACGGGUGAGUAACACGUAUCCAACCUGCCGUCUACUCUUGGACAGCCUUCUGAAAGGAAGAUUAAUACAAGAUGGCAUCAUGAGUCCGCAUGUUCACAUGAUUAAAGGUAUUCCGGUAGACGAUGGGGAUGCGUUCCAUUAGAUAGUAGGCGGGGUAACGGCCCACCUAGUCUUCGAUGGAUAGGGGUUCUGAGAGGAAGGUCCCCCACAUUGGAACUGAGACACGGUCCAAACUCCUACGGGAGGCAGCAGUGAGGAAUAUUGGUCAAUGGGCGAGAGCCUGAACCAGCCAAGUGGCGUGAAGGAUGACUGCCCUAUGGGUUGUAAACUUCUUUUAUAAAGGAAUAAAGUCGGGUAUGGAUACCCGUUUGCAUGUACUUUAUGAAUAAGGAUCGGCUAACUCCGUGCCAGCAGCCGCGGUAAUACGGAGGAUCCGAGCGUUAUCCGGAUUUAUUGGGUUUAAAGGGAGCGUAGAUGGAUGUUUAAGUCAGUUGUGAAAGUUUGCGGCUCAACCGUAAAAUUGCAGUUGAUACUGGAUAUCUUGAGUGCAGUUGAGGCAGGCGGAAUUCGUGGUGUAGCGGUGAAAUGCUUAGAUAUCACGAAGAACUCCGAUUGCGAAGGCAGCCUGCUAAGCUGCAACUGACAUUGAGGCUCGAAAGUGUGGGUAUCAAACAGGAUUAGAUACCCUGGUAGUCCACACGGUAAACGAUGAAUACUCGCUGUUUGCGAUAUACUGCAAGCGGCCAAGCGAAAGCGUUAAGUAUUCCACCUGGGGAGUACGCCGGCAACGGUGAAACUCAAAGGAAUUGACGGGGGCCCGCACAAGCGGAGGAACAUGUGGUUUAAUUCGAUGAUACGCGAGGAACCUUACCCGGGCUUAAAUUGCAGAUGAAUUACGGUGAAAGCCGUAAGCCGCAAGGCAUCUGUGAAGGUGCUGCAUGGUUGUCGUCAGCUCGUGCCGUGAGGUGUCGGCUUAAGUGCCAUAACGAGCGCAACCCUUGUUGUCAGUUACUAACAGGUUCCGCUGAGGACUCUGACAAGACUGCCAUCGUAAGAUGUGAGGAAGGUGGGGAUGACGUCAAAUCAGCACGGCCCUUACGUCCGGGGCUACACACGUGUUACAAUGGGGGGUACAGAGGGCCGCUACCACGCGAGUGGAUGCCAAUCCCCAAAACCUCUCUCAGUUCGGACUGGAGUCUGCAACCCGACUCCACGAAGCUGGAUUCGCUAGUAAUCGCGCAUCAGCCACGGCGCGGUGAAUACGUUCCCGGGCCUUGUACACACCGCCCGUCAAGCCAUGGGAGCCGGGGGUACCUGAAGUGCGUAACCGCGAGGAGCGCCCUAGGGUAAAACUGGUGACUGGGGCU
rnacentral:rRNA from 1 species